rnacentral:rRNA from 1 species
UUUGCAUAUCAAAUAGCGGAGGAAAAGAAACUAACAAGGAUUCCCCUAGUAACGGCGAGUGAAGCGGGAUGAGCUCAGCUUAAAAUCUCCGUACAGUUUUGUACGGCGAAUUGUAGUCUAUAGAGGCGUGGUCAGCGUGAGCGCUUGGGGUAAGUUCCUUGGAAGAGGACAGCAUGGAGGGUGAUACUCCCGUUCAUCCCUGAGUGGCUCGUGCGUACGACCCGUUUUCUUUGAGUCGCGUUGUUUGGGAAUGCAGCGCAAAGUAGGUGGUAAAUUCCAUCUAAAGCUAAAUAUUGGUGCGAGACCGAUAGCGAACAAGUACCGUGAGGGAAAGAUGAAAAGAACUUUGAAAAGAGAGUUAAAGAGUACCUGAAACUGCUGAAAGGGAACCGAAUCGUUUCCAGUGUCUAUAAUCCGUGGCAUAUUUCAUUGGCGAGUGUGUGCGUGCGUGUGCUGUGGCAGCGGCCUUUUGGCUGCGCUUGGCGCAUGUGGUGUGCGUGCUUGCUGGUGCCCUGUGCUGCGGUGGGACGUCAACGUCAGUUCGUAUGCUGCGGGAAAUGGCUGCCGAGGAGGUAGGGCUUACGCUUGCGUUUGUCUGUUAUAUCUUGGUGGACGAGUCGUCGCGGUUGGGACUGAGGUGCCUACAACGUGCUUUUGAGUGGGUUUGUGUCUCCGUGUGUGCCAUGUGCGGAUAGCUUGCUAUGCGUGUGUGGUUAUGUGUGGAUUGAUACGGGCUUUAACUUGUUGCCGUUCGGGACGUUGACGAAAUGGAGCGAUCCGACCCGUCUUGAAACACGGACCAAA